CGCUGGCGGCAUGCCUUACACAUGCAAGUCGAACGGCAGCAUGGAAGAGCUUGCUCUUCUGAUGGCGAGUGGCGAACGGGUGAGUAAAGCAUCGGAACGUACCGUGUAGUGGGGGAUAACGUAGCGAAAGUUACGCUAAUACCGCAUACGCACUGAGGUGGAGAGCAGGGGAUCGCAAGACCUUGCGCUAUACGAGCGGCCGAUGUCAGAUUAGCUAGUUGGUAGGGUAAAGGCCUACCAAGGCGACGAUCUGUAGCGGGUCUGAGAGGAUGAUCCGCCACACUGGGACUGAGACACGGCCCAGACUCCUACGGGAGGCAGCAGUGGGGAAUUUUCCACAAUGGGCGAAAGCCUGAUGGAGCAAUACCGCGUGAGGGAUGAAGCAUCGUGGUGUGUAAACCUCUUUUGUCAGGGAAGAAAGUUUCUGUGCUAAUACCAUAGAACGAUGACGGUACCUGAAGAAUAAGCACCGGCUAACUACGUG
rnacentral:rRNA from 1 species